ensembl:snoRNA
UGGACUAAGACUUACGGACAAGUACAAAAGAUAAAUCCUCUUUUGUAACCCAGAAUUCACUGUUCAGUAUGAGUUUUGAUACAUAUAAGAAGGAACAGC